AAUGGGCGCAAGCCUGAUCCAGCAAUGCCGCGUGUGUGAAGAAGGCCUUCGGGUUGUAAAGCACUUUUGGCGGGAGCGAAACGGCGUUUGCUAAUACCAGACGCUAAUGACGGUACCCGCAGAAUAAGCACCGGCUAACUACGUGCCAGCAGCCGCGGUAAGACGUAGGGUGCGAGCGUUAAUCGGAAUUACUGGGCGUAAAGCGUGCGCAGGCGGCUUUGUAAGACAGGUGUGAAAUCCCCGGGCUUAACCUGGGAACUGCACUUGUGACUGCAAGGCUAGAGUGUGUCAGAGGGAGGUGGAAUUCCGCGUGUAGCAGUGAAAUGCGUAGAUAUGCGGAGGAACACCGAUGGCGAAGGCAGCCUCCUGGGAUAACACUGACGCUCAUGCACGAAAGCGUGGGGAGCAAA
rnacentral:rRNA from 1 species